CGCUUUUGGAGGGGGGUGCGUCCUAUCAGGUAGUUGGUGUGGUAAUAGCUCACCAAGCCUAUGACGGGUAGCCGGUCUGAGAGGAUGUCCGGCCGCAGUGGAACUGAGACACGGUCCAUACUCCUACGGGAGGCAGCAGUGGGGAAUCUUGCGCAAUGGGCGAAAGCCUGACGCAGCAAUCCCGCGUGAAGGAUGAAGCAUUAUGGUGUGUAAACUUCUUUUCUGGUGGAAGACGAAUGACGGUACACCAGGAAUAAGGGACGGCUAACUACGUGCCAGCAGCCGCGGUAAUACGUAGGUCCCAAGUGUUAUCCGGAAUUACUGGGCGUAAAGAGUCUGUAGCCGGGUUUGUAAGUCUGUUUUCAAAUCCUAUGGCUUAACCAUAGAGAGGGAAUGGAUACUGCAAACCUUGAGAUUAUUGGGGGUUGAUGGAAUUUCCGGUGGAGCGGUGAAAUGCGUUGAUAUCGGAAGGAACGCCAAAAGUGAAAGCAGUCAACUACAAUAAAUCUGACGGUCAGAGACGAAAGCUUGGGGAGCAAACGGGAUUAGAUACCCCGGUAGUCCAAGCCGUAAAUUAUGCAUGCUAGGUGUCUUGUUCACUUUAUGUGAGCGGGGUGCCGUAAUCUAACGAGUUAAGCAUGCCGCCUGGGUAGUAUAUUCGCAAGAAUGAAACUCAAAGGGAUAGGCGGGGGAACACACAAGCAGUGGAUUGUCUCGAUUGAUUGGAUAAUAAGCCAAGAAUCUUACCUAGACUUGACAUACAUUGUGUCCUACGUGAAAGUGUAGUAAUCCCGAUUUUGUCGGGAUACGAUAUACAGGUGGUGCAUGGUCGUCGUCAGCUCGUGCCGCAAGAUGUCCAGUUAAGUCUGGGAACGAGCGCAACCCUCGUUGUUAGUUA
rnacentral:rRNA from 1 species